ncrna:unclassified sequences Glutamine-II riboswitch (downstream peptide RNA)
GUCCGUUCAUCCCAAGUGGGACGCAUGACGCUCUACCAUGGAACGGGGGUAGAGU